GACGAACCGUGCGAACGUUGUCCGGAAUCAUUGGGCGUAAAGAGCGCGUAGGCGGUCCGAUAAGUCGGUUGUGAAAACUGGGGGCUCAACCCGCAGAGGCCGACCGAUACUGUCGGGCUAGAGUCCGGAAGAGGCGAGUGGAAUUCCUGGUGUAGAGGUGAAAUUCGUAGAUAUUAGGAAGAACACCAGUGGCGAAGGCGGCUCACUGGUCCGGUACUGACGCUGAGGUGCGAAAGCGUGGGGAGCAAACAGG
rnacentral:rRNA from 1 species